UACAGAGACUGCAAGCGUUAUCCGGAUUCACUGGGUUUAAAGGGUGCGUAGGUGGGCAGGUAAGUCAGUGGUGAAAUCCCCGAGCUUAACUUGGGAACUGCCGUUGAUACUAUCUGUCUUGAAUAUCGCGGAGGUAAGCGGAAUAUGUCAUGUAGCGGUGAAAUGCUUAGAUAUGACAUAGAACACCGAUUGCGAAGGCAGCUUACUACACGAUCAUUGACACUGAGGCACGAAAGCGUGGGGAGCAAACAGG
rnacentral:rRNA from 1 species